rnacentral:rRNA from 1 species
GUGCCAGCAGCCGCGGUAAUACGGAGGGGGCGAGCGUUAUUCGGAAUUAUUGGGCGUAAAGGGCGCGUAGGCGGCUCUUUAAGUCAAAGGUGAAAUCCCUCGGCUCAACUGAGGAACUGCCUUUGAAACUGAGGAGCUUGAGUCCGGGAGGGGGUAGCGGAAUUCCCAGUGUAGCGGUGAAAUGCGUAGAUAUUGGGAGGAACACCAGUGGCGAAGGCGGCUACCUGGACCGGAACUGACGCUGAUGCGCGAAAGCGUGGGUAGCAAACAGGAUUAGAAACCCCCGUAGUCC